rnacentral:sRNA from 18 species
GUCAGCACCCCCGGCUGAAGCACGGGGGCUUCCUGCCCCCCGCUUUCAGGUAGCUGACCAGUUUAAGCCUUAACUGGCUACGUUCAGAGCAAGAGUUAAAGUUCCUACCCUGGAAUGCGUGCUAGUUCCAGGCACUAGAA